AGAAGGACAGAGACUUAUACGUUUGGAAACCAGAAAUCUUUGACGGGAGAAACGGACUGGAGGUGCAGGGAGCUGCAGAGAGAGGAUAAUGGUGACGAGAUCUGUAGGACUGAUGGGGGGGGGGGGAAUAGGGAUCCAUCAGCAUCCAGUAACACAAUUAUUAUAAUACACAAACAAUCUUAAACCUUUGUGAUCAAUUUCUUCCUCAACCUAUCCCUUUUGCUGAAUAGCUC
rnacentral:lncRNA from 1 species